rnacentral:rRNA from 1 species
CGACGUAGGUAACCUGCCCGGUAGCGGGGGGUAACUAUUGGAAACGAUAGCUAAUACCGCAUAAGAGUAGAUGUUGCAUGACAUUUGCUUAAAAGGUGCAAUUGCAUCACUACCAGAUGGACCUGCGUUGUAUUAGCUAGUUGGUGGGGUAACGGCUCACCAAGGCGACGAUACAUAGCCGACCUGAGAGGGUGAUCGGCCACACUGGGACUGAGACACGGCCCAG